GUGGCUCUUAGAGCAAAUAAUUUUUAGUUCAGGUUAUACCCAGAGCUGAAAUCCUAAAAUAGUGAUGAUUGAAGUUGCUAAAUUAGCUAGAAGGGAUCUAACAAGCUGCUUCCACAUGAUGUGGUAAUGUGAUACACUUGGGAUUUAUGAAAGCAAAUGCAUUUCUUAAAUACUUGCAUGGUAUUUUUAGAUUUGUUAAUACUAAUGGAUCUGUAACAGAACUGUUCAGAUUAGAGAUCAUUCUGUUAGCUAAUUAAAGCCCAACACAUAAGAUCUCUUUAGGAUAUGGUCAAGUAAAAAAAGUAUCUUGGUGUGUUAGAUGUUUCCUAGCACUGUGUGCUUUCCAGAGAAAGAUUAUGCGGCUUGAUAAAAGUAGCAUCUUCAGGAGAACCUCCUGCCUGCUCUGCUGCCUUCCAUUCCACACGAAUUAGCUGUCCCUGUUUGCCACAGCGCAGCUCUGCUCUAAGCCCAUGGGAGUUGAACAGUACAAGCUAAAUUGGGCUGCUUGAUUGCUGCACGUACCAGUCCUGAAAGCAAGGCUGAAUUUGAUCCUCAGCAACACUGGUGUGCUUACAGCAGCUCUGGGUGUCUAGACAAGGAAGAAUUGGGAACUUCCAAGUAUCCUUUUAACCUGCAAUGGUGCUUUGUUGACUUAAAGUAUUUUAAAAUGUAUUCCUUAGGAACCAAAUGUAGAUAUUUGGGCUUGUAAUCAUUAUUCCAUUGCUGAUAAAAGCAUGUUAGAAUAGUAGUGCAUCUUGUGCUUGGAUAGUCCUGCUGUCUGAACAGGAAGCUGGUGUUCGUAACUACAAGCCAGCUGGGUGAGGUCACAAGUUCUUCUCUUAAGUGAGGAGGAGCCUUUUUUCCUUGACAUAGAUUGUUUUCUUGUGCCCUUAAUUGCAUUGCAAAAGGACAGGAACAUCCUGGAGUGACUGCAGCAGAGUGAAUCAAGGAGCAGAGGGGUCUGCUGGGCAGAGUGUGCAGAAUAUCUGAGAACGGAGCACAAGGAUAAGGUAAUCCUGGUUUUGUAACAGGAAGUCUGAACGUGUGUGUUAAGUGUUAGUAAAUCUCUACUGGGCUCUUAGAGGCUCGUGUUUCCUUCUCAGAAACUUUGUGAUGGUUACCUUUCAGUUUCGUGGCAGAACAGCAAAAGCCAUGGUGUGCAGCACAUGGCGGGGUGUAAUGGCGCACAUCUGUGUGUCACCUGCAUUAAUGUGGCCUCGUAUGUACUGCAUCUGGGCAGUGUGCAAACACUUGGACAUCCAGUGCUGUAAAACCCUGCAACUGGAUGAGCAGUCUCGAUUGCAGGCUGAUCUUCAGAGCCUCGGCUCGGUUAGAGGCUGGUUUGCUGCUUGGUGAAACACAGUAAAGGAUUCUGCUGUUAAUUGUUAAUCAGCAAAUCUGUGCAAAGGUUUCACUGGAAGAUGGUGAGCAUGAAGCAGAAUUCUCUAAGACUUUUUUUUUUACUGUUAUUUCAAAGCUUCCAAUUCCUUUUCACAUUGUUACUUUCUAUUCCUGCUUCACUCUUCUGCAUUUUCUUUAUUUCCUUGUUUUGCCUUUUUUGUUGAUUCAGUUUGGUUCCUUUUCCGAGGCUUUCACUUGCCAGCUCUGCGAAUCCCUGCACUUAAAAUAGGCCUGUCUGGACAGGGUGUUAAAUUAAGAGCAGUGUUACCUUUGAAGUGCUCAUUUUGGAUUCAAUUUUUUUGACACUUAUGCAAUGUAAUAUGUGGCUGGAACACCCUGCCAAAGUCCCAACAACCAAACAAAUAUGCAGAAGAAAAGGCAGAUUUUUUAGCGGUUCAUUGCGUUUCGUUAUGGUAGGGUAAAUAUGCAAUACAAGGAUGAGGCUGUCUGUGCUGAAAGCAUUUUGUGUUUGUGGAAGGUAGUGCUGCUUCCUAUCCCUUCUAAUGAUUGAUAAUGCAGAAUUUCUGAUUAAAUAAAAUGAGAAUUUUGAAAUGUUUCAAGCAUGUGGGCAAUUUGCUUAUUCUGUAGCAGUCUGAAUGCUGGCUGAAGAAAUCAAACUUGCUUUUUCUCUUUACUUUUGAAAGGGUUCUCCAGUCUGCAGGUCAUCUGGCAAGGGAGACAGUCCUUGUCUGAAAUGAAAAGCUGCCAAACUCACAUGUAGGAAAUCACAGAGCUGUUCUGUUACCCACUGAAAUGUUGCCCACCAGCUGUGCUUCGUGUUUGUUGAGAUGCAGUGGUGGCUCAGUACAGUGCCCUUGUGCUCCUGUCUGUUUGUUCCCAGCUCUGUGCUUGCAGCUGUGACCACUAUGAUGAAGUUGGUCUGGCUGAGAAACAUCUUUUCUCUCAAGCAGGUCAUUUUUCAGCUGGAUCUGUGGUGGUGCUGGAUGGGGAGAGCAGCAGCCUGAGGGCACAGCUCCUGGUGGUGCCCACUGGCUGCACCUCACUCUAGAGGCAGAGCUGACCUCAGGCUGUGCUUCCACAGCAGUGGCUGUUUAAGCAGCUCCUUGCUAAGGGGACAAACUUCACCUCUGCCUUCGAAGCCUGAGCAGGUGCCACUCCCCUGCCCUUUGCCUGUGGGGAGCAGCAGCAGAGGAUGAGCUGUGUGGGAUGUGGCCCUGACCCAUCAGCGUGGGGCUGCUGGCUUGGGAUGCAGGAGUGGCUAGAUGGGUGGAUGGAGGACCAGGACAUGAGAUGGGGCUGCUUUAGGAAGUACUCAGGAAGGAGGAACUCUGAAGGGAAGCACCUGAGGCAGCAGUCCAACCAUUGCCCUUAUCUCAGUGUAAUUUCCUGCUGAUUGCAGCUGGCACAAGCCCAGACUGCUGCAAGGGCAGAGAGAGCAGCUCUACAGAGCUGUCUGCGAGAGAUGAGGCUGCAGGCUGCUGCUGUGAUGCAUCCCAGGUGGGGUUGCUUUAAGUGGGCCAAGUUCCUGGGGGUGCUGUGGGCACUACUGGAGCGUGGUGGGAAUGCUCAUCCUGGCAGCAGCGAUGUCCAUGUCAGUGUACAAUGACUGUGUUAUCAUCAAACUGGGCUUAAUGGUCACAGAGAUCUUUCCCAACCUUAAUGAUUCUGUGAUUAGAUGGCUUAUUCCCCAACUAUUUUCUAUAUCAAAAUGUUAUCCAUCUAAUUUUAGGUAAAAGUAUUGUGUGGGAGAAAAGGUUGCUUGCUUGGUCUUUCAUGGGUGGGCAAAAAACCACCAUUUAUAUGUAAAUAUUGUGCAGUUAAAUAUAUAGUAUUUUAAUAAAGAUUUUUAAUGAGGGUGUUUUAUGCAAUUUUAACUCAUAUCAAUAACCUGACGUUUGGGAAUUUCCACAGUACUGUUAAGUAUUUGAGUGCACUCAGCAUGACAAAUCUGUAUUGUAAUACUUAAAGGGAAAAAAGAAAGGCAUGGAAAACUCGCUGGGGUUUGACCAGGUGAGAAAACUAUUCUUCUAUAUCCUAACUUUUCUUUUUGCUGCUUAUUUUUUACAACUUGACACAGGAGAUUUUACUUGGGAACAAACACAUGACCGCUGCUUGAUUUCACCCUGGCUGGAUUGAAGCAGUUAGAAUUUUAAUCCCUCACCACAGCACCUUCAGAAAGUAUUUAUAUGACAGUGUCUUCAGAACAAAAUGCACUUUUGAAAGAGAAACCACAUUACCUUUAUGGCCUAAUGUGCAUUGGGGUUCUUUCUGUUUGAUUUUUUGGAAGUAGGAAUACAGGAAGAACUUGAGUUAAAGCUUUGUAAUGGUAUAAAACAGUAGAGUUGCAGUAAAUACUCAAUGUACAGGGACAGUAACAACUGGAAGCACUUAAUUGUAAAGUUUUAUUUAUAACCAGAUGUUGAGAAACUAUCAGGCUUGUCAAAGACUGCUCGCUGAAUUGUGCCUUUCUCCAUUAGGACAAAAUUGCUUUAAAUCUUCUUCUGUAUUCAGACCCCAGUUGCAAUUUUGUCAUCUAGGAAACUCGACUAUGUUUGUCUCUAAUUUGUAAGAGCUGUCACUCAUAAUUAUUUGCCUAGAAUUGUUAUAAAAAUUAACUGGUUUAUUUUUUUCUCGAAUGGCAGUAUAUGCAGUUUAAGUCCCAACUUCUAAUAUUAACAACUGUUUUUUUUUUACAGGAAUGGGGUUGGAGAGUAGUGCAAGCCUCUCUGCUGGUGCUGUGCCUCCUAGAAUGGCCCUGAAAUAGGAUCUGGCUCGAGCUGUGGCUGUUCUCAAUAGCUAAAUUUAUUGCCUUGCCUGGAGAGGAGCCUUGAAUCCAUUUCACUGAGCGAGGAAUUUCAACCCAGUAAUGCAAACAGGCUGUCAUGGGCUUCCCUGCUGCUGUGGAGGCAGUCUGCUUUGUUUCCAAGAUGAUUAUCUUCCUAAAGCGUCGUCUGUCUUUAAUUUGAGCAGAAAGGCUUCCUUCUUCAAAAUUGGCUGCCUGAGAUUAUAGAAGAGGUCAAGGUUGUGGCCUCUAGAUUGAGUGAUCAAAGUCUGAUGGAGAAACUCAGUGAGUAAAAUGAAGGAAGGCAGAGGAGCAGAAACAGUCAUCUGUUCAGUGAGGGUGAAGUUGUAGUUUGGCAGACAUAGGGAUUCUGAGUAUGUAGAUUGUGACUGAUGAUGUGUUUUGGUGCCUAGAAGAUGUUGCCAUGUUUGUUACAGCACUCGUAAAGGGUUAUAAGCACUAAACCUGCAGUAACCACAUGGGUUAAAAUUGGUGACCUGAGUAUUGCAGUAAAGUAUGAAAACUGAAUCUGCCCGAGGACCUUCUCUAGGAAGUCACUUCGUGGGUAUCUCCUCCAAAACAGGAGCCACAGAAUGAUUUAUCCUACUUCUACUGAAGCGGCCGUGGCCACUGGAUCUACAAUAAACAUUUGCAGUAUUUCUGCAUAGGUUUGUACUGUUAAUUUGGGUGAAAAAUGGGGGCAGUAGACAAACUUGAAGUCUGGCUAGUGGCUUUUUUUUUUUUUUUUUUUUUUUUUUUUAGAGGUGUCUCUAAAUUUUAAGUAAAUGCUGAAAGAAGGUUGUAAUCAACUGAAUGUGGCUCUGAAGGGAUGUUAAAGCGGGUUGAAAGAGAACUUUGCAGAAUACUGGUAUUUACUUUGUGUCAUGUUGGUGUCUUCUGGAAAGAACUCAGCUGCAGUGAGGAUUCCAAAUUGUCACCCUGCUCCCAGUGUUGCUGCUGGCUUUGCUGUGGAAGGGAGUCCAAUGGAUUAACUUGGAGCUUGUGUAACACAAAGUUGGUUUCUGUGGUUUUGAGAGGACAUGGCCAAGUGUUUUGGCUCUGGCUUGUCCUCAAAAUGCCGCACAGGUGAAAGCAAACUCCUGUAGUGCAUCCAGAAAGCAGAACGCUGCCAAAGAAAGCAAAAUAAAUCCUCUAUUAUAAAGUGGUUUUGAAAAGUGACAUUUAAUACAUGCAUUUACAGAGUCUGCAAUUGUGGAAGCUUUGCUUUUCAGGCACAGAAGUUUCCUUUAACAUAUGGGUGUUAUGGAGCUCAGCUUAUGAGAAGUGUACGGAAAUGCAGCCUGUUGGUAGAACACAGGAAAUGGGAGACUGGUGUUAAACCUGCACUGCAACCUGCAUUGCUUGACACCCGUUCAGAUAGCAGGGCUCGGUGCGAGCGGCUGCUGCGGAUCAGGGCAGAGCU